GAUGAAGAACGCAGCGAAAUGCGAUAAGUAAUGUGAAUUGCAGAAUUCAGUGAAUCAUCGAAUCUUUGAACGCACAUUGCGCCCGCCAGUAUUCUGGCGGGCAUGCCUGUUCGAGCGUCAUUACAACCCUCAGGCCCCCGGGCCUGGCAUUGGGGAUCGGCGGAAGCCCCCUGCGGGCACAACGCCGUCCCCCAAAUACAGUGGCGGUCCCGCCGCAGCUUCCAUUGCGUAGUAGCUAACACCUCGCAACUGGAGAGCGGCGCGGCCACGCCGUAAAACACCCAACUUCUGAAUGUUGACCUCGAAUCAGGUAGGAAUACCCGCUGAACUUAAGCAUAUCAAUAAGCGGAGGA
rnacentral:misc_RNA from 1 species